rnacentral:rRNA from 1 species
GGACCCGCACAAGCAGCGGAGCGUGUGGUUUAAUUCGAGGCUACGCGAAGAACCUUACCAGGGUUUGACAUGCAAGUAGUAGUGAAGCGAAAGCGGAACGACCCUUCGGGGAGCUUGCACAGGUGAUGCAUGGCUGUCGUCAGCUCGUGCCGUGAGGUGUUUGGUUAAGUCCACUAACGAGCGCAACCCUUAGCGUCAGUUACAAGUGUCUGGCGCGACUGCCGGUAUUAAGCCGGAGGAAGGUGGGGAUGAUGUCAAGUCAGCAUGUCCUUUAUACCCUGGGCUACACACACGCUACAAUGGCCAGCACAGUGGGUUGCCAAGCCGCGAGGCGGAGCCAAUCCUAAAAAACUGGUCUCAGUUCGGAUUGUAGGCUGCAACCCGCCUACAUGAAGUCGGAGUUGCUAGUAACCGCAGGACAGCUAUACUGCGGUGAAUACGUUCCCGGGUCUU